rnacentral:rRNA from 1 species
UGGGGAAUAUUGCACAAUGGGCGAAAGCCUGAUGCGGCAACGCCGCGUGAGUGAUGAAGGUCUUCGGAUUGUAAAGCUCUGUCUUUUGGGACGAUAAUGACGGUACCAAAGGAGGAAGCCACGGCUAACUACGUGCCAGCAGCCGCGGUAAUACGUAGGUGGCGAGCGUUGUCCGGAUUUACUGGGCGUAAAGGGUGCGUAGGCGGAUGUUUAAGUGAGAUGUGAAAUACCCGGGCUUAACUUGGGUGCUGCAUUUCAAACUGGAUAUCUAGAGUGCAGGAGAGGAGAAUGGAAUUCCUAGUGUAGCGGUGAAAUGCGUAGAGAUUAGGAAGAACACCAGUGGCGAAGGCGAUUCUCUGGACUGUAACUGACGCUGAGGCACGAAAGCGUGGGUAGCAAACAGGGUUUAGAUACCCUGGUA